AACGCACAUUGCGCCCCGUGGUAUUCCGCGGGGCAUGCCUGUUCGAGCGUCAGUACAACACUCAAGCUCUGCUUGGUAUUGGACCGCAUCAGUUCUGAUCGGUCUUAAAAUCAGUGGCGGUGCCAUCGUGCUCUAAGCGUAGUAAUACUCCUCGCUACAGGGUCUCGGCGCGUGCUUGCCAGCAACCCCCAACUUUCUAAGUUUGACCUCGGAUCAGGUAGGGAUACCCGCUGAACUUAA
rnacentral:misc_RNA from 3 species